rnacentral:rRNA from 1 species
UGGGGAAUAUUGCACAAUGGGCGCAAGCCUGAUGCAGCCAUGCCGCGUGUGUGAAGAAGGCCUUCGGGUUGUAAAGCACUUUCAGCGAGGAGGAAGGUGGUGAGCUUAAUACGCUCAUCAAUUGACGUUACUCGCAGAAGAAGCACCGGCUAACUCCGUGCCAGCAGCCGCGGUAAUACGGGGGGUGCAAGCGUUAAUCGGAAUUACUGGGCGUAAAGCGCACGCAGGCGGUUUGUUAAGUCAGAUGUGAAAUCCCCGGGCUCAACCUGGGAACUGCAUUUGAAACUGGCAAGCUAGAGUCUCGUAGAGGGGGGUAGAAUUCCAGGUGUAGCGGUGAAAUGCGUAGAGAUCUGGAGGAAUACCGGUGGCGAAGGCGGCCCCCUGGACGAAGACUGACGCUCAGGUGCGAAAGCGUGGGGGGCCAAACAGGAUUAGAUACCCCUGGUAGUCCAGCGCUGUAAACGAUGUCGAUUUUGGAGGUUGUGCCCUUGAGGCGUGGCUUCCGGAGCUAACGCGUUAAAUCGACCGCCUGGGGAGUACGGCCGCAAGGUUAAAACUCAAAGGAAUUGACGGGGUCUAGCUG